rnacentral:rRNA from 1 species
GUAGUCCUGCGUCAGGAUAAAACGACUGGCGGCGCACACUAAGACAUGCAAGUCGUAACGGAUUAACCAUUAGUUUACUAUUGGAGCGGUUAGUAGGCGGACUGGUGAGUAACACGUAAGCAACCUGCCUAUCUAGAGGGGAACGAACAAGUUAGAAAUGACUAGCUAAUACCGCAUAUGCCAUGAAUAUCACAUGAUAUAAAUGGGAAAGGAGCAAUCCGCUGAUAGAUGGGCUUGCGUCUGAUUAGAUAGUUGUGGGGGUAACGGCCUACCAAGUCGACGAUCAGUAGCCGGACUGAGAGGUUGAACGGCCACAUUGGGACUGAGAUACGGCCCAGACUCCUACGGGAGGCAGCAGUCGGGAAUAUUGCGCAAUGGAGGAAACUCUGACGCAGUGACGCCGCGUGCAGGAAGAGGGUUUUCGGAUUGUAAACUGCUUUAGACAGGGAAGAUAAUGACAGUACCUGUAGAAUAAGCUCCGGCUAACUACGUG